CCUACGGGAGGCAGCAGUGGGGAAUCUUGCGCAAUGGGCGGAAGCCUGACGCAGCAACGCCGCGUGCGGGAAGAAGGCCUUAGGGUCGUAAACCGCUUUCAGGGGGGACGAAGCUUCCGGGGUUAAUAGCCUACGGGGUGACGGUACUCCCAAAAGAAGGUCCGGCUAACUACGUGCCAGCAGCCGCGGUAAUACGUAGGGACCGAGCGUUGUCCGGAAUCAUUGGGCGUAAAGAGCGUGUAGGCGGCUUGGUAGGUCUCGUGUGAAAUCCCGCGGCUCAACCGCGGAUCCGCACGGGAAACCCCUAAGCUCGAGUCCGGAAGAGGAGAGUGGAAUUCCUGGUGUAGCGGUGAAAUGCGCAGAUAUCAGGAAGAACACCCGUAGCGAAGGCGGCUCUCUGGGACGGUACUGACGCUGAGACGCGAAAGCGUGGGGAGCAAACAGGAUUAGAUACCCUGGUAGUCCACGCCGUAAACGAUGGGCGCUAGGUGUGGGAGGUGUCGACUCCUCCCGUGCCGAAGCUAACGCAUUAAGCGCCCCGCCUGGGGAGGUACGGCCGCGAGACGUAAACUACAANAGAUAGACGGCGUGAGACGNGCCGACGGACGACGACGAGGGAGUAGG
rnacentral:rRNA from 1 species